rnacentral:rRNA from 1 species
AACGAACGCUGGCGGCAGGCUUAACACAUGCAAGUCGAACGGGCGUAGCAAUACGUCAGUGGCAGACGGGUGAGUAACACGUGGGAACCUUCCUCGUUGUACGGAACAACUCAGGGAAACUUGAGCUAAUACCGUAUACGUCCGAGAGGAGAAAGAUUUAUCGCAAUGAGACGGGCCCGCGUCGGAUUAGGUAGUUGGUGGGGUAACGGCCUACCAAGCCGACGAUCCGUAGCUGAUCUGAGAGGAUGAUCAGCCACACGGGGACUGAGACACGGCCCAGACUCCUACGGGAGGCAGCAGUGGGGAAUCUUGGACAAUGGGCGCAAGCCUGAUCCAGCCAUGCCGCGUGAGUGAAGAAGGCCUUAGGGUUGUAAAGCUCUUUUACCAGGGACGAUAAUGACGGUACCUGGAGAAUAAGCCCCGGCUAACUUUGUGCCAGCAGCCGCCGUAACAC